GAUGAACGCUGGCGGCGUGCCUAAUACAUGCAAGUCGAGCGAACAGACGAGGAGCUUGCUCCUCUGACGUUAGCGGCGGACGGGUGAGUAACACGUGGAUAACCUACCUAUAAGACUGGGAUAACUUCGGGAAACCGGAGCUAAUACCGGAUAAUAUAUUGAACCGCAUGGUUCAAUAGUGAAAGACGGUUUUGCUGUCACCUAUAGAUGUAUCCGCGCCGCAUUAGCUAGUUGGUAAGGUAACGGCUUACCAAGGCAACGAUGCGUAGCCGACCUGAGAGGGUGAUCGGCCACACUGGAACUGAGACACGGUCCAGACUCCUACGGGAGGCAGCAGUAGGGAAUCUUCCGCAAUGGGCGAAAGCCUGACGGAGCAACGCCGCGUGAGUGAUGAAGGUCUUCGGAUCGUAAAACUCUGUUAUUAGGGAAGAACAAAUGUGUAAGUAACUAUGCACGUCUUGACGGUACCUAAUCAGAAAGCCACGGCUAACUACGUG
rnacentral:rRNA from 1 species